GGGUCAGUAGGUUGGUCGUGCCACCGGUACGUACUGGCCUCACUGAUUCCUCCUUCCUGAAGAACCGUAAUGCCAUUAAUUUGGUGUUGCGGGGAAGCAGGACUGUUACUUUGAAAAAAUUAGAGUGUUUAAAGCAAGCUAACGCUUGAAUACAUUAGCAUGGAAUAAUGAAAUAGGACGAUCGAUCCUAUUUUGUUGGUUUCUAGGAUUGACGUA
rnacentral:rRNA from 1 species